rnacentral:rRNA from 1 species
UCUACGGGAGGCAGCAGUGGGGAAUAUUGCACAAUGGGCGAAAGCCUGAUGCAGCGACGCCGCGUGAGGGAUGACGGCCUUCGGGUUGUAAACCUCUUUCAGCAGGGAAGAAGCGAAAGUGACGGUACCUGCAGAAGAAGCACCGGCUAACUACGUGCCAGCAGCCGCGGUAAUA